GAUGAAGAACGCAGCGAAAUGCGAUAAGUAAUGUGAAUUACAGAAUUCAGUGAAACAUCGAAUCUUUGAACGCACAUUGCGCCCGCCAGUAUUCUGGCGGGCAUGCCUGUUCGAGCGUCAUUUCAACCCUCAAGCCCCCGGGCUUGGUGUUGGGGAUCGGCGUGCCCUCGCGGCGCGCCGUCCCCUAAAUCUAGUGGCGGUCUCGCUGUAGCUUCCUCUGCGUAGUAGCAACACUCGCACUGGAUCGCAGCGCGGCCACGCCGUUAAACCCCCCACUUCUGAAAGUUUGACCUCGGAUCAGGUAGGAAUACCCGCUGAACUUAAGCAUAUCAAUAAGCGGAGGA
rnacentral:misc_RNA from 1 species